AUGAUUUUCUCCUCUGAAGUUGGUUCCCACUAUGGAGUGUUCUUCCUUUUGGAAGGUGUGUUUACCCCACCCUGUGCUGCUGCUGCCCGGGGUUUCCCUCACUGCCUGGGACCUUGUCCAAUCCAAUGCCAUCCCCUGCCCCCCAGACAACACCUGCUCCUGCUAAUUGCAGCCGUAAAGCCCUUAGUUGUUGCUGUGCUGCCCUCGGCUGGUGCUGUGGGACAGGUGUGCUUUCUGCUCUUUGCAAUUUGUUGUCCUGUGUUGUCUGAGUUCUCCCCUUGGGUCUAUUCAUAGCAAACUGUGUUGGUUGGUCCUGUGGGCAGGUUGAGCAUCCUGGGGAGCAAAAGCUGUUGCUUUCUUUGCGCUCAGUGCAUUGCACUCAGCUGCGGGGUGCAGUGCAGGAGCUGGGGGCUGCUCCUGCUGGGGAGCAUCUGCAGUUGGUGGGAGCUCUCACCAACUCUUAAUGCAACAUUUCCUUCAGUUUAUUUUUGUAUUCUUAAGGCAUGUUUAUGUUCGAUUGUUUGUGAGUUGUGGUGAUUUGGGUUUUUGUUUGUAUUGUUAAAAACGUAAGCCUAGUCUGCAGUACAAAGCACAGGAUAAAUGCAAAGAGUUUUUCUGGAGGUCUUUCGCCACAGACUGCAGAUCGUGUUUCCUUUCACAGAGCUGUAGGGAUGUGGCCGCCCCUGCACUGCAGGACAGAGGCAGUGUCCCAGCAUUGCUGUGUUGUGUGACUUCAGUUGUGUGAGGUCCUUCCUUCAGGCCUUUGUAGUCAGCUUUAAAUAAGCAGGUAUAAAUUUCACCAAGUAGUCCAUAGUUCUGAAACAAAAGACAGAGGGUUACAAUGAACUGUUCACAGUGCAUAACUAGGUAUCAGCUAUUUCUGCUAAGAAGCAAAUGUAAUCACUGCAAAUAUCUGAUAUUGAAUCGGGUCUGGGAGAUGGCAGAAGGUGAAGUGAAUGCUCAGAGUUUGAGGCAGUGCUGUCUGGUUUGGCCUCUGCCCUGCUCUGUGCAGCCAUGAUCCUGCCAAGCAGAGCAUCUGGAAAAUGUGGUGGUGAACUUCACAGAGGACAUAACCAAAUGUAACAGAGUUCUUCAGCACGAGGAAGAUGUGCCUAUGCAGAAGAUAAGGUAUUGGAAGAGGGAAGGAAAACAACUGAGAAAUAUUCCUCCCUGUGUGUCGCAGCACAUGAACAAAGCAGUGGCUCUUUUUGAAGCAGUCUCUGCUUCUUGCCUGGGAAUUCAUUGUUAGAAAUACAGAUUCCUCCUCUUCUGGGCAGAGCUGAUAAACAACCUCGAUGCAGAUUCCUUUUCUCUCAUUAGGCCUUGUUCUUUUUGCUACAUUAUUUAUGAUCUGAAAGAAUAAUAAUUGCAGGAUUGUUCAGUGAAUGAUGUGUUGUGAGUAAUGCGCAUUUACUGUUUCCUUUGUCCUUCCCUCUUGCUUCACUGGAAGAGCAAGUUGUUGACUGCAUUUAAAAUGAGUAGAAAGUCGUGCAUAAGCACAGUGUAUUGAGGCCUGCGGGUUGAGUAUGCCCUGAAUCACUGCAGGACAGCAGCCCUCAGCCUUACGAAACCCAUCUGAGCACUGGGAUGCCUGGUGGGGCAACCCAAGGACUUCUGUGGAACUUUUCUCCAGAGGUGAUGGAGCCUACAGACAGGAAAGAGGGUGAAGGUUGAGUUGGGGUCCCGUGGCACGAGCAGGGGUUGGGGGCUGACCCCUACCUUCCCUGGGCUGCCCUGUUCCUUCUCCCAGAGCUGGGAGGGGGCUGAGAGUACAAGGUGCUGGGGGCCAAUCUUCCCGCUACUUCCCAGUACUUGUGUGUGAGCGUUUUGUGGUGCAGCCCCAGCACAGGCCUUCCUCUGUCCCUGCAGACGAGAUCAGCUUAAUGAAGGAGAUGCAUGUUACUCCUGGCAGUACCAUUAAGCAGUUACCAGGAACGGAAACCUGCUGUUAUGGUAUUUAAAAUAAAUAAAUAAAUAAAUCCCUUUUACCUCA
rnacentral:lncRNA from 1 species